AGCUUGCUGUCUUUGAAGCAGUUACCUGUGUAGGGCCAGAGGCAGCCGUAAUGCCUAGAGUAGCUCGCCCGGCCUGGCCAAGUGCAAUCUGGAGGCAGGAAAUCUGCGCCCAGACUGAGCGACCCAGAAACAGCCUCUUCUUCUUUGUUUAUUGCGUUUGAGACAGGGUCUCACUAAGCAGUCCAGAUUACCCUUGGGCUCACUGUGUAGCCCAGGCUGGCCUCGAACUCGCAGGAGGAUCACUGUGACUUCAAGGCCAGCCUGGGAUACAUAGUGAAACCCUGUCUCAGUACCUCUCCUACCCCCCAAAAAGACACAGGCUGUAGAACAGACUGACUUGUGUUCAAAUUCAGCUGCAGCCUGCAGAGUGACCUGGCUGAACCCGAGUCUUUAGUGAAGACAGGAGGAGGUCCCUGCCUGGCCCUGGCAGGGAUCCGUGAGGAAGGGACACAGACGCGGUUCAGAGUCACAGUUACAGGCCGGAGUGUGGCCUCACAGACUGCUGUGUCUGGCUGCAUCGGGGAACGGCGUCUCCCAGGAGAGCGGCCACAGCCCUCUGGGGUCACCGGCCCCUGCCCCCUCUGAGUGGACGCUGCACACUGAGGACCAAGUCCCUUUCCUUCUCCCGACCUCGCCUCACCUCCCUCUUCGCCUCCUCCCAAAAGUGCACCCAGUGAUGAGAUGUGGGUGGUGGAGCCAGAGCCUGCUCUGUGCAAAGCCCGGCCUGCCAGAUGCAGAUUAGUGUUCAGUCCCCCUUGCACGCAGGACUGAGGUCGGUGCCCAGUGGGUGGACGCUGAGCUGCGGGCCCAGGGCUCCACAGUGGGUGUGGGUCUGUCUGGGCCUCCUGUGUCGCUUGGUUUAGGGGAGCUGGGAUGCCCCUCUCUCCCACCUCCCCUGUCCACUGGCAAGUCCUGCUGGCCUUGCUUCGGGUCGGGCUCACAGCCAGCGUCUCCCUGCUCCGUGAGCUCCCACCCAAGACAGAAGGCAGCAGAGCUCACCCUUGGGUCAGCCAAGUGGCCGUAGGGCAGGUGAGCCUCCGCUGAUAGCCUGGCCCUCCCAUUGUCUGUUUUGAGCACAAAAGCCAGAAAGUCCCCCUUAAAAUGUAAGUCAGGGCUAGGCGUGGUGACGCUUACCUGUAAUCCCAGCACUCAGAAGGCUGAGGCAGGAGGAUUGCCAUGAGUUCAAGCUAGCCUGGGCUAGAUAGGGAGACCCUGUCUCAAAAAACCAAAAAUAAAAUACACUGUAAGUCAGGUCAUGGCACGCCUCUCUCCAAAACUGUUCGAUGGUGUUCCAAGACAGAGAAAGCCAGAGUCCAUAGUGGCCUCGCCACGCCCCCUCAUCCGGGAUUCACCCAGGCCGGGCCCAGACCCUGGGCACCACUCCGCUCUCUCACCAUGCCAGGUGUGUCCCCCUCAGGCCUUUGUGAUUGUGUCCCCCAUCCGUGACACCCUGGUAUCCACUGCAUCGCCGUCACCUCAACUCAGGUGCCACCCUGACUGUCCUGUGAAAACAGCGCUGCCCCGCUGGAAACUCUCUCCUUUAUCUGCUGUUCUCUCUCAAGGAUUUGUUCUCCUCUGACAUGCUACAUAUGUUUUUUUCCAUAAUCAAGGUAGAUUUCUUUUCUUUUCUUUUCUUUUCUUUUGGUUUUUUGAGACAGGGUCUCACGAUGCAGCCUGGGCUGGCCUUGAACUCACUGUGCAGCCCAGGCUGGCCUCGAACUUGUGGUGACCCUCCUGCCUCAGCCUCCAAGUGCUGGGAUCACAGGUGUGCACCACCACUCGGCAUUUUUUAUUUUUAUUUUUUGGUACCGGGGAUCGAACUUUCGAGGCAGGCGCGGUGCCACUGAGCUAAAUCCCUGGCCCUCUCGGCAUGUUUUUAAAAAGCAAAACCUUUAUUAGUACAUUUCAGAUGUACAUAAUGAUAGCACUCAUCACAGGGAAUUUGUACCUGUACAUGAUAUAUCCUGCCUCUUCUUUUUCUCCCAUUCCUCCUAAGCUCCUCUCUCCUCCCUGUGCACAAAAGCUUUGUUUCCAGUUUUCCUUCUAUUUUCACUUUUUUUCUUGUCCUUUCCUUCCUUUCUCCCUCCUGCCUCCCUUGUUCCCCUUCUCAUUUGAACAUUUUCUUCCCAUUUCCCAAUAUUUAUCAUACAUUUUAGUCCUUAUUUACACUUUUGGCUUCUCAUAUCAGAAAAAUAAUGUGGCAUUUAAACAUGUAUAGGAUUUAUUUCACUUAACAGUAUGGUCUCAAGGUCCAUUUGUUUAGCUAGAAAUGUCUCAAGCUCAACCUUCUUUAUGGCAGAGUAGUACUCCCUUGUAUAAAAAAAACCACAUCUUCUUUAACCAUUCAUCAGUUAAUGGGCACUUGGGCUGUUUCCAAGAUUUAGCUAUUACAAACUGUGCCGCUAUGAACAUGGGUGCACAUAUAUCACUGUGGUAUGAUUCUUUUAAUUCUUUGAGGAAGAUCCCCAGUAGGGGAAUAGCUGGGUCAAAUGGGACUUCCAGUCCUAGUUCUCUGAGGUGUCUCCACACUGAUUUCCACAGUGGCUGUACCAGUCUACACUCCCACCAGCAGUGGAACAGGGUUCCUCUUUCCCCACAGCCCUGCCAGCAUUUGUUAUUGGUUGAUUUCUUGAUAGCAACCAUUCUUUCUGGAGUGAGGUAGAAUCUCAGUGUUGUUUUAAUUUGCAUCUCUCAAAUGACUGGAGAGGCUGAACAUUUUUUCAUAUGUUUAUUUGCCAUUUCUACUUCAUCUGAGAAAUGUCUGUUCAUUUCAGAUGCCCAUUUUUGAAUUGGGUCUUUAUAUCUGUGGGGUCUGAGUUUUUGAGUUCUUUAUAUAUUCUAGAUUGUAGACCUUUGUCUGAGGAACAGCUGGUAAAAACUUUUUCCCACAUUGUGGGUUGUCUGUUAGCUCUGUUGUUGGUUUCUCUUACUGUGCAGAAGCUUUUUAAUAAGGAGAUCCCAGGUGAUGAUUCUUUGUGAUAGUUCCCGUGCCGCCGGGGUUUUGUGCAUAAAGUCUGCCUACAUCAACAUCUUCGAGAGUCCUCCCUAUUCUGUCUUCCCCCAGAUUUAGGGUUUCUGUCUUAAUGUUUAGAUCUUUGAUCCAUUUUGAGUUUGGGUCAGUGUGACUUGCUGCAUGUCCACUCGGUAUUACUAAUGGCAGCUCCGUGGCCAGGAGCUUGAUUCAGCUGGGUGCUCUACCCAGGCUCUCAGAUGACGCUGGCAUACAGUAGGGGCCAUUGUCAAACCCCUCUGCACUGGGUCUCCCUUUCAUAACUGCAGUCUCAAGUCAUUCAAAUCCUGGUACCAGGGUCUCCCUUUUGUAAGACGUCCACCAGGAAGAAGAGGAGAGGGCGGGAAACCCAGGGCAGAUGGCCUUCGCUUCCUGAAGACGGGGAUGAGGGCGGUGGUGGUGACAACGUGACGAUCAUGGUGGCGGCGAUGGAGAUGAUGGCCAUGAUGAUGACUGUUGUGGCUGUGUCCAGAUGUCCCCAAGGCCUGAUGCGGUCACAGGCAGGGUUUUUUCAGAGGUGGCCAAAUCCAGAGUGUGUGAUCGAUUCCUGGUGCAAUACCAGGGUUAUGGGUGCUGGGAUCAAGGGUGUGUGGUUACUAAUUCAGGCCACUGAUUGGUUUGGCCCCACCCUGAUACCAGUAGCCUGGAUACAAGGACAGGAAGAAGCUUGUCUCCUUCCUGGUUGCUUUGCUGCCUCCUCCCCACCAUGAACUGUUUCUCCUCUGCCAUGCUUCUGCCACCCUGCCUCGGAGCCAGCCGACUGUGUGCUGAAACCUCUAAAAACUGUGACCAAAAUAAACCUUUCCUCCGUAACUUUGGGUUUUGGGUAUUUUGUCUCAGGAACACAAUGAGAAAAGUAAGGCAGAAUUUGGCACCAGAGAAGUGGAGUCAUUGAUGUGACUAUAGCUGACCACAUGGUUCAGGAACCUUUGGGAACGGCUUGUGGGGAGAGUUUGGGAAGGUUUGGAGAUGCUGGCCAAAAAAGCAGAGCUGGAAUGCCUUAAGUGGUACCUAGUGGGAGAGUCUGCUCAGAGCUCAAAAGACCAGAAAGCUGAUAGAAAUCCUGCCAGUAAAGACCAAGCUCGAGAGGUUUCUGCUGGGAAGAAGGACUGCAUUGGCUGUUGGACUCCAGACAAGGUGUGUUAUGGCUGGCAGAAAGUUUGUCUGUGUUUUGCUCAUGUCCAGAGACUUUGCCUGAGACUGAGAUUAAGAGCAGUGGACUAAUUAAUCUUGCAGAAGAAAUUUCAAGACAGUCUAAUGUUGAGGCUGUGGCAUGGCUACUGUUGGGGGCUUUUAGCCAGAUUUAUGUUGAGAAUCAACAUAAGAGCACAGCAGAAUGUUUCAAAACGUUGUGAGUUUGGCCAGAAAGCAAGCUCCAGUAAAGUUGUGGCCUGCAAGAUAGAGCAGAGCAGAAAUUGAUCACUGAAAAGACUUGCAAGAAAAAGCCAAGUAUUUCAGAAGAUGACAACCCAAAAGAUGUCCUGAGGGCAUCACAAGAAUCAACAGGACUCCACCCUUUGGAGUCUCAGAGCUGCAAAAGUGAAAGAGUUUGCUUUGAGAAGAGAGCCCCAGAGCACCAUGUUCCAGAAUGGUGGUGGCCUAGGAAAGUUGUUCCUUGGGAUUUGGUUCAUAGGCACUGAACCCCCACAGCCAAGUGAGAAGGAAGCCUGGCUACUGCUCCAGCUGGCAGCAGACCUUGGCGUCAUCCACGUGGUGCUGGCUUUAGGCGCAUGCAGAAUGCAAGAGCUGUCGGGUCAGGAAGGCUUCACCCAGAUUUCAGAAGGCCUGGGAGGCCGGGUAGGGUGCCCCCGAGGGGGCAGUGUGCGAAGCGGUGAGUGUGAAGGCAAAGGUGCAGUGGAGACCCCAGAAGUGUGGAGAAGUCAGGAGCAUGAAUCAUCUGAGGAAAACUGCAAGGAGGGAGCAGAGCUGGCCCCAGAGAGAAACCAUGGGAGCCACAGCCACCAGCAGUGCCAUAGGGCGGAGCCGCCCAAGCCCUUUGGAGUUCACAGCUUGCCACAGACUGCCUCACAUGCUGGAUGUGGAACCACAGGACUUCAUAUUUGCCCUGCUGGAUUUUGGACUUGCUUUGUUCUCCUUUGUAGCCCCUAUUUGAUACCUUUUGGAAUGGUAGUACUUAUUUUGUGCCAUUGAAUGUUGGAAGUGUUUAACUUCUUUUCAUUUGCCCAGGGCUCACAGCUAAGAGUUUGCUUAAACCUCAGAGGAGACUCGGGACUGGGACUUUGCAGCAGUGCUGAGACUGUUAGGACUUGGGCAACUCUUGGAGAAGGACUGAAUGGCUUGUGUCUAAAGGGGUGUGCGUGAGUCUUUGGGGACCGAGGGAAGAAUGCUACGGCUGUGUCUAGAUGUCCUCCCAUGUGGUCACAGGCGGGCUUUCUCGGAGUGGCUGGAUCCAGAGUGUGUGACUGAUUCACGGUGCAGUGCUAGGACCAAGGGUUUUUAGGACUAAGGGUGGGUGAUAAUGAAGUCAGUCCACUGGUUGGUUUGGCACUGCCCUAACCCCGGCGGCCUGGAUAUAGUAUAAGGGACAGGGAGAGCCUCGUCUUCUCCCCUGCUUGCUUUGCUGUCUUCUCCCUACUGUGAACCAUUUCUCCUCUCCCGGGCCCCUCUGCCAAGCCACCCUGCCUUGGAGCCAGCAGACUACAGGCUGAAACCUCUACACGCUGUGCACCAAAUAGAGCUUUCCCCCUUCAACUGUGGGCACUGGGUGUUUUGUCUCAGCGACGAGAGAAAUAACUAAGACAAUAAUGAUGAUCAUGGUGAUGCUGGUGGUGGUGAUGGCAAGGCUGAAGCCACAGCGGCUUUGGCAAGCAGUUUGGAGUUUCUGCAAGGGAGCUCACUGCACCCCUCAUCCUUACACAAAAGAGGAGAACGCAAAGGCUGUACCUACCGAGAGGCCUGUGGGGGUGAUGGGGAACCCCCCUCAUCCUGGGAAAGAUGGCCUGGGAGGACAGGCUGUGG
rnacentral:lncRNA from 1 species